rnacentral:sRNA from 1 species
ACUAUGGGGUUAAACUCGAAGUGCGGAAUGAAGGUAUCUUUCUGAUUGAAGUGUAUUUGGAGCCGUCAUACAUAACAUUUCGAAGGACUAUGCGCCUUUCUCUCAGCUUCUGUUGAAGUCGUUCCAUUUCCCAUCUCUUAUUUAUUGACGGUCAAUAAGCUCACAGCUUCAAUGCGCACUUGGGAGGAUCAAUUUCCAAACGAGUAUUUCCUAACCAGCAUUCAAAGCCAGUCCUACUCUCCCCGUCUCUCCCUCAAGCUCAUGUCCCCGAAAAAAAAAAAAAAAAAAAAAAAAAAAUUGGCCCGUCGUUUAUCCUGUUGGCGCAUCCCAUGGCGUGGAAACGAAAGACCCUAUCCUCCGUAGUAUUUAGGGGAGAGAGCAUUUAAAUGUGCGCUAUUUAACUAACCAGCCCCCAGCUCCUCUGGAUAGUCACCAAGGCUGGAGAGAACAGCAAUAAUAAUUCGCAGGCAAAAUCAUCACCAGCGGUGAUUGCUUCAGCAUAUGGAAUGAAAUUCUAGCCUGCAAUACCGCCAUCUACUCAUUGUCCCCCCUAAACGACAACGAGCAUUACAUAUCUACCAAACGGGGACCAGUGCAGAUUCUCGUGCAGUCGAAACCGGGAUUUGAUUCAAACUGUGAAGAGUCCAUUCCCUUUGAAGGGAGGCCUACGUUGUGGGCGGGUUGAGGCAAGCUUGACUUGCUAGUGCGGGUGUCACAGGGCGGACAACGGCAACCGGGAGAGCUAAAAUGCUUACCGAGCUUGUUUUUACAAGUCCGCGCCAUGGCAGGGCGACAUGUAGCGUGUGAACAAAUUCAAGGGCAUUCCUUGCUGAGCACCUCUUUCCGUGAGCGUGUUGGUGGUGUUUAAAUAGACAGCAGCUGGUCCUGGAAGUGACUUUUGGAUGAACACACGGACAACUGCUCCCCCACAUACAGAGGAGCUUCGGAAACUCGCAACACAAUUAAACAAGAAUUGAAUCUGUAGGCAUUGGCCUCGUGAAUGUUAAGAACAGUAUUGAACCGAUAUACCUCCUUCCUCAAGUGUCAUUUCCAGUUCCCGGCAUCUCAACAUUAAUAUAUAUAUAUAUAUAUAUAUAUUCCCCCGCAGCCAUCACUAUGGCAGCGAAUGAAUCAGCUCCCGUGCAUUAUGCCAUGCUUCUUUACCCGGGCUUCCAAGCCUUGGAUGCUUUCGGACCACUCGACAUCCUCAACAUCGUAGCUCUGGAGAAAGAGAUAAAGCUAUCCCUCAUCGGCCCAACCAUGGACCCUGUCAGUACAAAGUCACCAAUCCCAAACACCUACUCCACCAGCUCAACCUCCUACCAAUCUGUGGUCCCAACACAUACGUACGACGCUCCGCCAGAGGACAUCGACGUCAUCAUCGUCCCGGGGGGAGUUGGCUCGAGACACGAAACCAUCAAGCCCACGGUCCAAUUCCUGGCCGAGAGAUACCCACGCGUCCGUUAUCUACUUACCGUCUGCACAGGGUCGUAUGUAGCUGCACAGUCAGGCAUCCUUGAUGGCAAAAAGGCGACAACGAACAAAAUCAGAUAUGAUGCCGUGGUAGCGAAGGCUCCGAAGGUGAACUGGGUGCGGCAGGCGCGGUGGGUUGUGGAUGGCAAUAUUUGGACAUCCUCCGGUGUUAGUGCGGGGAUAGAUGAGAUGUUGGCGUUUGUGCAGGAAAUCUAUGGGAGAGAGCUGGCGGUGAAGGUUGCGACCGUUAUGGAGUAUAAUUGGCAUGAAGAUUCGACGGCGGAUCCGUUUGCGGAGUCACCCUUGGUGAAAAAGUAUGGGUACUAAAGUUGUCUAGGUAUUGUGGCAGACAGAUUGCUUGAGAAAACACAUGCGGUUGUAUAUUAUGAUAUUCGAUUGGGAUAACGGUGGAAUUGGUCGAAUAUCGUGGUUUAUCAGAGUUGCCGUGUAUAAAUAAAUAUCUUAAUAUUAUUGGAAUUAUCAUGCUUGGAGAGUGGAUGGAAAAUGUGGCGAGUGUGCAGUCUAACAGUCUAACCACUCCUUUUCUAAUUAAUCUUCAAGGAGUGCGUGCUUCAACUUGCACGCUUCAAGUCUUCAGUAAAGAUCGAAAUUGCAUUUCAACUAGUGGUUCAGACAAGCAAAGAGUUAGCGGAACAUCCGCUCACAAGCAGAUCAACGAGGGAUUGAGGAUAUCGUGUUUGAAAAUGGGA